rnacentral:rRNA from 1 species
GAUGAACGCUGGCGGCGUGCCUAAUACAUGCAAGUCGAGCGAACAGACGAGGAGCUUGCUCCUCUGAUGUUAGCGGCGGACGGGUGAGUAACACGUGGAUAACCUACCUAUAAGACUGGGAUAACUUCGGGAAACCGGAGCUAAUACCGGAUAACAUGUUGAACCGCAUGGUUCAACAGUGAAAGACGGUCUUGCUGUCACUUAUAGAUGGAUCCGCGCCGCAUUAGCUAGUUGGUAAGGUAACGGCUUACCAAGGCAACGAUGCGUAGCCGACCUGAGAGGGUGAUCGGCCACACUGGAACUGAGACACGGUCCAGACUCCUACGGGAGGCAGCAGUAGGGAAUCUUCCGCAAUGGGCGAAAGCCUGACGGAGCAACGCCGCGUGAGUGAAGAAGGUCUUCGGAUCGUAAAACUCUGUUAUUAGGGAAGAACAAAUGUGUAAGUAACUAUGCACGUCUUGACGGUACCUAAUCAGGAAGCCACGGCUAACUACGUG